UGGUUUAAUUCGAUGCAACGCGAAGAACCUUACCUGGUCUUGACAUCCACGGAAGUUUUCAGAGAUGAGAAUGUGCCUUCGGGAACCGUGAGACAGGUGCUGCAUGGCUGUCGUCAGCUCGUGUUGUGAAAUGUUGGGUUAAGUCCCGCAACGAGCGCAACCCUUAUCCUUUGUUGCCAGCGGUCCGGCCGGGAACUCAAAGGAGACUGCCAGUGAUAAACUGGAGGAAGGUGGGGAUGACGUCAAGUCAUCAUGGCCCUUACGACCAGGGCUACACACGUGCUACAAUGGCGCAUACAAAGAGAAGCGACCUCGCGAGAGCAAGCGGACCUCAUAAAGUGCGUCGUAGUCCGGAUUGGAGUCUGCAACUCGACUCCAUGAAGUCGGAAUCGCUAGUAAUCGUGGAUCAGAAUGCCACGGUGAAUACGUUCCCGGGCCUUGUACACACCGCCCGUCACACCAUGGGAGUGGGUUGCAAAAGAAGUAGGUAGCUUAACCUUCGGGAGGGCGCUUACCACUUUGUGAUUCAUGACUGGGGUGAAGUCGUAACAAGGUAACCGUAGGGGAACCUGCGGUUGGAUCACCUCCUU
rnacentral:rRNA from 1 species